rnacentral:rRNA from 1 species
UUGAACGCUGGCGGCAUGCCUUACACAUGCAAGUCGAACGGCAUCGCGGGAAAGCUUGCUUUCCUGGCGGCGAGUGGCGAACGGGUGAGUAACACAUCGGAACGUACCGGCUAGUGGGGGAUAAUCCGUCGAAAGACGGGCUAAUACCGCAUACGCUCUUCGGAGGAAAGCAGGGGACCUUUGGGCCUUGCGCUAGCCGAGCGGCCGAUGUCCGAUUAGCUAGUUGGUGGGGUAAAGGCCUACCAAGGCGACGAUCGGUAGCGGGUCUGAGAGGACGAUCCGCCACACUGGGACUGAGACACGGCCCAGACUCCUACGGGAGGCAGCAGUGGGGAAUCUUGGACAAUGGGGGCAACCCUGAUCCAGCAAUGCCGCGUGGGUGAAGAAGGCCUUCGGGUUGUAAAGCCCUUUCGGCAGGGAAGAAAUCGGCGGGGCGAAUAACCCUGCUGGAUGACGGUACCUGCAGAAGAAGCACCGGCUAACUACGUG